UACGUAGGGGGCAAGCGUUAUCCGGAUUUACUGGGUGUAAAGGGAGCGUAGGUGGCGUGCCAAGUCAGGAGUGAAAACCCAGGGCCCAACUCUGGGACUGCUCUUGAAACUGGCAGGCUUGAGUGCUGGAGAGGUAAGCGGAAUUCCUAGUGUAGCGGUGAAAUGCGUAGAUAUUAGGAGGAACACCAGUGGCGAAGGCGGCUUACUGGACAGUGACUGACACUGAGGCUCGAAAGCGUGGGGAGCAAACAGG
rnacentral:rRNA from 1 species